rnacentral:sRNA from 1 species
CCAAGAUUUAGGGUCACCGUUUUCCAUAGCUGUGUACCAAAGAUCUGUGGUCACGGCUUUCGCUGGUUAUAUGUGCCGUGCCUACAUUGGCCCUAGGUCUGUAUUAUGUGAUGUGCACGAUACAAAUAUCACUUCUGUGUCUAAUAUCUGGGAACCUGAGGGUUGUGUUGUGCCAGGGCAUGUCCACUGGGCGCAGGAGGACAGGCUGUUAGUGCACAGACCCUGGAGCCCAAGGCCACAGCGAUGAGUUCAGAUCAGGUUAUUUGUACAGAUCGCACAAGUUGCGUUGAGAAAAGUCAAGGCAAUUGCAGUUAUGAUGCAUUUUGCUGGGAUUUAUAGGUGUGAGCCACCAGGCCCAGGUAAUAAUUAACUUUUUAUAACAUCCCUUUUUUGAUGUGGUAGUUGACUAAAGAUGACUCUUCUGGGCUGAGGUUUUCAUUUUUGAGUAAUACAAUAAAUCUCACUCCUGCCUCUUUUUUUUUUUUUCCUUUUUUUUGAGACCGAGUCUUGUUCUUUCACCCAGGCCGGAGUGUAGUGGCACUAUCUCGGCUCACUGCAACCUCCGCCUCCCGGGUUCAGGCCAUUCUUCUGCCUCAGCCUCCCGAGUAGCUGGGACUACAGGCGCCCGCCACCACGCCUGGCUAAUUUUUUGUAUUUUUAGUAGAGACGGGGUUUCACCAUGUUAGCCAGGAUGGUCUCGAUCUCCUGACCUCGUGAUCCGCCCGCCUCGGCCUCCCAAAGUGCUGGGAUUACAGGCAUGAGCCACCGUGCCCGGCCUCUCACUCCUGCCUCUUAGUGACAUCUUGAAUCUUAUGUUCAGCACUGUCACACCUCUCCACUGAGUGUCACGGCACAGCUGUGAGGGUCUGUGCAUUCUGUCUCCUAGGCACCUUUUGAUGUCCCAGCAGACCCUGAGGAAUGUGCCACCGAUAGUGUUUGUUCAAGACAAGGGAAAUGCAGCUCUAGCUGAGCUUGAUCAGUUACUGGCAGUCGCAGACUUUGGACCCCGGGAUGAAAGAGACAACUUUGUACAAAAUGAUUUCAGGGACCCUGAUGCCCCACAACCCUGCGGCACCACAGAGCCGGCCACAAGCUCCAGUCUGUGUGGGAUCGAUCAUGAGGCGCUCAACAAGCAGAUUAUGGAGUACAAAAGGAGGAAAGAUAAAGGGCUCGGGGGCCUGGUGUGGCAGGGGCAGGUGGCUGAGCUGACAACGCAGAUGAAAAAGGGAAGGAAGAGGGCCAAGCCCCGCCUGGAGCAGGACAGCUCCCUCAAGAGUUACCUGUCAGGCGAGGAAGUUGAAGAUGACCUGGACCCGGUUGGUGCCCCGGAGUACGAAUGCUAUGCCCCGGACACAGAGGAGUUGGAGGCAGAGAGAGGAGGUGGCAGAACAGAGGAUGGCCACAGCUGCGGAGCAAGCAGGGAGUAGAUGGAGAGGCUCUGCCCAUCCCACGUUUGCAGGGAAAAGCAUUGGCACGCAACGCAGCAUGUGGCUUCACUGAGGCAGUUGAUGGAGUUAAACCAUCUGCUCUUCUGCUACUUCAACAUUUUCUAGCUUUUCCGUGUAUCUAAACACAAUUUGCUACACAAGUCACUGUUUUUUUU